GCAUCCCCGGGGGAGGGAGGCAGGCAGGGAGGGAGGGGUGAAGGAGGAAGCCGAGCUGUUGAGUCAACGCUGCAGAGCAGCCUGCGAGAGCUGAGAGAGGCACAGCUGCAAAGGACAGAUUUGCUGAGCCACGGGAAAAUGGUUUGAGUGAUAAUCAACGCCUGCCGCUAUGCGGCCAGGAAGAUGAGGAGCCUGUGCAGCCGGGAGUCCCGGGAGCCACCGCCCUGCCCGGCGCAGGCAGCGCCCCAAAGCCAGCACCGGGAUGUAAAACCAGAGCUACCAGCACCCCCUGAAGCACCAGCCUCACUCCCCAGCAACUUCAAACCCAUCCAGUGCAGGUCCUGACAAUAAAUCCCUCCUGCUCCUCUCAUGAAGGCCACCAGAUUCCUUCCCACUGAUUUUUUGCUCAAGUCCUGUAUCCCAGGGACUGGAAAAUAUCAGCAAAUCCCUGCUGGAUCUGCUCUCAGCACAGAAGCACAUUGAUAGAAAAUGUCCUGAUCAGUGUCUCAUGACCAGAAUUUUCUAGUUGGCAGAGGAAAAAAAAGAAGAUCCCCAGUGUGUAUCAGAAGAUCCCCAAGGUGUAUGAGAAGAUCCCCAGUGUGUAUCAGAAGAUCCCCAGUGUGUAUCAGAAGAUCCCCAGUGUGUAUCAGAUGCUCCUGGCACGUGUGGCCAUGGAACACCAGGGGAAGAGCAGGAGCCAUUGCAUGCUAGCAGGGAAAUGGGUUUUUAUACUGUGAAACCAAAUUAUGUUCCAGUGGUGUUGGUAGAAAUUCAGACAAUUUCAAAAUCAGUUUCUGGGAUGGAAUAAGAGUUUUGGAGCUUGGGUGAGUGGGAAUCCCUUUCCCCAUAGCCAGUGAGCCCCCAGGGGAUGUGCAGCACCCCUAGAGCAGAGGCUGCAGGGAGGUGCCCCCAACCCUGCCCUGUCACAGAGCAAUGACAGCAGAGCCCCAAACCCCACAGCUGUGGGGGGGAUCCUGCCUGACCCCUCCUGUGACAGCUGGACCAGCAGUAAAGGUGGAAGAAAUCA